rnacentral:misc_RNA from 1 species
GAUGAAGAACGUAGCGAAAUGCGAUAAGUAAUGUGAAUUGCAGAAUUCAGUGAAUCAUCGAAUCUUUGAACGCACAAUGCGCCCGCCAGUAUUCUGGCGGGCAUGCCUGUUCGAGCGUCAUUUCAACCAUCAAGCCCCAGGCUUGUGUUGGGGACCUGCGGCUGCCGCAGGCCCUGAAAACCAGUGGCGGGCUCGCUGUCACACCGGGCGUAGUAGAUUUUAUCUCGCUCAGGGCGUGCUGCGGGUUCCGGCCGUUAAAAAGCCUUUUUUACCCAAGGUUGACCUCGGAUCAGGUAGGAAGACCCGCUGAACUUAAGCAUAUCAAUAAGCGGAGGA